AGCUCAGAUUGGUUAGAGCGCACCCCUGAUAAGGAGGUGAGGUCAGUGGUUCAAGUCCACUC
rnacentral:tRNA from 1 species